GCCGCGUUCGUCUAGGGGUUUAGGACGCUGCCCUUUCACGGCAGUAACACGGGUUCGAAUCCCGUACGCGGUA
rnacentral:tRNA from 1 species